ensembl:lncRNA LINC01844 long intergenic non-protein coding RNA 1844
GAGAUGCGUCUGAAUCUUUCUGCCAGUGUGUUAAAGUUAUUCUGAUAUUGACUGUAGUUCUGAGCUUUGUCUCUAUCCCACCAAACCACUAACUUCUGGAAAUUACUUGUAGACCAAGAUGGGAGGACUCCGUGUGUGGCUCCUUGAAGGUUGACUUCAGAUCACAACUGCCAGUUAAAACACCAUGAACACACUGGACUUUUCAACUGUUUUGAAUGAAAUGUGCAAGUGAAGCCAGCAGAAAUAUCACUCUCUCUUCAUGUGACAAAGAAACUUCCUAAAAUACUAAAAGCUAAAGGAGAUUGUUAUCUAAGCUUGAGAUGGAAGGUUGCCAGCGGAAACUUGGAGGAUCACAGCCAGUCGCCUGGGAUUGACCACAGGGAGUGGCAGAGGCAGAAAGCAAAAGACCAGUUGCAAUUAUCCAGGUAAAAGAUGGAGGCUGUUGCAAUAAUCCAGAAUCCUGAAUUGAGCCUGUGUUCCCAGUUCCUAGAAACCCUCAAGGUUAUUGGUUUCCUCCUCGCUUAAUAGACCAGUGGAAGAAAUCUACCUCCAGUUCUAUCUUCACAUGAGCAACUGUUUACAGUUUACAAUAUUACUCUGAAAAUCAGUUCUUUUCAAGUUUUAUCUAACACCCACCAGAAGAAACAGAAGAUUAUGAAAAUGGAAUUUGUCAAAGUUCCUCUCCCAACAAUAUGAUAUUUAAUUUUGCUAACAUUUUUUUUUGAACACUUACUAUAUUGCAGACAAUGGUCUAAGUAAAGCAUUUUAUGUGCAUCCUAUCAUGUCAUCAUCACACAGCCCUGUGAGGUAGAUACUAUUAUUAUUAACCACAUUUCACAUUCAAAAAAACUGAGGCUUAGAGAGACUAAGUAAAUUGUCCAAGGUCACACAGCCAUGAAGUGGCAGAGCUGUGGUUAAAACCUAUGUCUGUCUGAUGUUUAAGAUUUUGCUGUUAGCAUUACUUUGAAAUGACAAUAUGAGGGCAUUUUAUGUAUUUUUUUUGCCCCAAUAUGAUCUGCAGAAACUAUGUAUUUUAAGUACUACAUUUCUUUUAUUUACCAAAUUAUUGUCAGAUAAGAAACCGAAAUAAAAGUUUACAGGGUCUAGGAUUCCUCCAUAAUGAAUGAACUUUGGGGUAUUUCAGUGACAAAUUGGCUUUAACGCGAUCAAAUUCCAUCCUACAAUGAAAGUGUGUUAGUUUGUGGUUUCAAGUUUAAAAACAGCACUGUAUUGUCUUCCAGAAAUAUAUAAAUAGAAAUUCAAGAAGUAUUUCAAUGAAUACAGAUAAAAUUAGUUUUGUUAGAACAUCAAA